CAAAUAGCUCCAAGGCACCACUGGCCAAGGCUGAGCCCAUCAGCAACAGUGGUAGUGCCUCUGUAGUAACAUAUUUAAGAAGGAGAAAAAACUUCUGUGCAACAGCAGCCAGGAGACAGGAGUGAGAAUAUGUGUGAAAAACAGCUCUGCAGACACCAGUAUCAGUGAAGGAGGAGGGAAGAGGUGCUCCAGGCAUCAGAGCAGAUAUCCCUGCAGCCCCUGUCACAGACCAUGGUGAGGGAGGCCGUGCCCCUGCAGCCCAUGGAGGACACCCUGCUGGAUCAGAGGGAUGUGCCCAAAGGAGGAUGUGACCCCACACCUCUAGGAAUGCUCACUGCAACAACAGAAUGAGCUCUUUUUGGUUUUUUUCUUAAACACUGGCUCUGCUUCUCUUAACUAAAGUGGACAGCAUGCACAAAGUGGCAUUGGGUGCAGCACCAAAGAAUAUCAAGGACUAUUUCAACUGAAAUUUUGAAACUGCCCAGCAGCUCUCAAUCACAAUCUUCUUUCAGUUUCAUACAACUCUAAAAGUAAAAAUAAAACCACUAUUUAUUUAA